GUAUGUAUAUUAAAAGUAAAGCCAUGCCCUCAGAAUAUGACUCAUCAUCAGGACAAGCAACAAAGACCCAUUGCAUAUCAUUCCUAUCUCCUGAUACAUCAGCCAAAGUUCAUCAUCCUUGCCUAAAAAUAUUUGUAACAUGUGCUAGCUAAAUUGGUUGAAGCAACUUCAGAUCUCACACUGGAAUCUCCAAUAAAUCUGAUGGUACCACAUACAGUACAAGCAGUUCUGCUCUCUGAGUUAUAUACUAUAACUCUCUAAAGACACUCAACAUUUUCCUACCAGUUGGCUGAGUAAAUAUCAAUUAUUAACUUCUCACAUUACUCAACUAUAAUACAUUUCUCAAUCAAGGGAAUCUCAUGAUUGUGCCUCUGUCAUUCAAGAAGUGUCCAUGUCCAGAACAAAUAUUUUGGACACUCUUAUACCAAAUUCUACAUUGAUAAGUUUUUCUUAUCUUUAAAAUUGAAAGGGAUGCUAACUGGCUAUUUAUGCAAUAACUACUCAGACCCCUUUAUAAAAAUUCAGUCCACUAGCAGAAGCAAAAUUCACUCAAGUAGCUGAACUAAUAGCUCAUACUUGGGCAAGUCAAUUUACAAAAAAAUUAUAUUCAUUGUGAGUACAUUUUUAACACAGUUCAUAGCUUCCAAAUACUAUGGAGACAAUGAGGUGUGCUAACUGUCUAACAUUUCUUAAUGCUCUCAUGUAUCUCUGUUAAAAAUGGACUCCAAAUACAUGAAAUAUUUGAUGUCAUUAUGUAGUGGGAAGGGGGAAGGGCCCUCCCGGAACAAAGGGAAGACAACAUGCAACAGCGGUACCUGUGUGCGCAUGCCCAGUUCCGUAACAAUGUAACAUAACCUGAUUCCAUGGGUGCAAGCCUACCUAUAACUGUCCACUCAGAAAUUACAGAAGAUUUGUUACCUUAUAAGGGGGACAAAGGGACCAAAGUGUAAAAGGAAAAAUAACAGAGGGUAUAUAAGACAGCACCCUGCUGCGUUCGGGGCUCAGACUUUAGAUAUGAAUCCGCUGAACCAGUGCCGGCACAAAUAAACGCUGCUUCCUGGCAAAAAAAGCCUUGGUGUCCUGUCUCCCUGUACGUAAGUCCAGCAACAAUUAAGUUACUCAAAGAAAUUUGGUUAUAAAGACAAAGUUUCACAUUACAAAAGACUGCAGAAGCUAGGGCGGGAAAAUUAUUGUGGCGAUCAUGGUGUUAAACAUAAUUUCUAACUGGAGGCCUCAUGCAAACACCUCUUCUGGAACAUAAAAACAAAUACACGGACAAGCUCAAUAAGUCCAUCUUAGCUCUAGAAUACCAGAUCCUGAUUUCAUAAGGAAUCACUAGGAACAAGUGAUUUGUUUGAUCCAUGAGGACAAGAUAUGUCAGAGCCAGGAAAGCUGCCUGCUACUCAAAUCCUCCAUAGUGAAGACAUCACAGCAGGGACAUAGUGGCUGCAAAAUUAACCCCACGCUUGUGGGGAAACUUUUCUAGGAUGAAAAAAAGGGCCAGUCAUGCCUAUCUUGGAACCAGCAAAAUCCCAUAAAAUCUGUAAAGAGGGGAUGAAAUGGAAUACUUUCCCUAGAAAAUACCUGGAUAUUUUCUAAAAGGAUUUUAAAAAUGGAAUUUUCCCCAUGGGAUAGGAGUACGAACUAGUAAUAGCAUUUGCAUUUUCUAUGUAUGUUGAAGCAAUCUUCUGUCAGAAGACCUCAGCACUCAUGAUCGUUAAAAAUCAGCUUGAUAUUGUAUUUACUACCUGUUCCAUUUCAAUGCACAUCUAUAUAGAGAAGCAAGUUUCUCUGGAACAGUUACAUAAAGUUUUGCCCUCACUUAGAGAUUUUACUAUUCUUAUCACCCCGCUAUCUUCUGAAAAAGUGGAAAGAACAAAUGGAAUGUUAAGACUGAAGUGAAUUACCAUGUCAGACAACCUUGAUCUAACAUGGCCUAAUGAAUUAUUAAUUAGCCUGAGCCCCUGUGGCUCUGUUUUCUUUCCCUUACAAAGUCAUAGGCUGCCUCACUAUGAACUGGUCACUGAUAGGCCCAGGUAACCAUACAUAUUUCAAUCUUUCACAAACUGAACUAGAUAAAUAAACCCAGCAUAGUCAGUCCUUUCAUCACAGGCACAGGUUGAUUUCCUUGCCUUUCAUUUAAUCAGCCUUUACAUAACCUUAAUCUGGGUGACUGGGGGCUUUGCAAAAAUCCCAGAGAAACACUGCCAUUGAGCUUGUGGAAAUCACCUUAUUAUUAAGUAUGAUUUCUUUUUUACUAGCAGAUAAAAUACUAGAAGUUAAUCCUUCAUUACAUGUUUACCAACUAGUAUGAAACCAUGCAUCCUUAAUUAACAAGCAUUGAAAAGUUACUCACAUUAUAUAUUAAACUAAGAUUCUCCAGCAAAUGGUCAGAAGCAGACGGUCCAGAGAAGAUAAGGCUGACCCAAGAUUCCUGAGACAAACAUAUAAUUAUGUAAAGUAGACAUCUCAAAUCAGUAUCAUUGGAAGAGAAUCUUUCUGGAUGUUUGGAACCACUGUUUGUCAUACUUUCCUUUGAAUUUUUUGGUUUUCAUCCUUUUACUCGUCUUUUCCCACUUUAAUACUAGAAUGUUCUGUGUUUCUGAUUUAUCUGAAUUUAUGCUCUUACCAAAAAUAUCACUUGCUAAGGUAUUAGCUUUACUUGAAGCGAUAACCAUCCUAAUGCUAUUGUUCAGCUCUACAAGGACAUUUCUAGUGCAACAAAUUUCAAGAAUUAUUGAGUAUAUUAUUUAAUGUCAACUCCUGAAAGCCAAAUAAUAACCACACUCCAAGUAGUACCACUAAAAUGAACUUUUAUCAAUAAAGUUUGUUAUAAAAUACUAGAAAAAUGUUAGAAUAGAGUUGGUACAAACAGACUGACAUAAAGAAUAUGUACGUCUCUGUCUGAUAUAUGAGUUGGUCCAACAUUAUACUGAACCACUUCAUUAUUAAUUGCCAUUGUGUUCCUUCUGUAGAUCAGAAAGUAAAAUCUCUAAAGCAGUUCCUGCGGCAGUGCAGUGGGUUAGGUAUCCAGCACUGGUGAAGCUGUGGUAUAGGUCACAGCUUUGGCUCAGAUUUAAUCCUGGCCCAGGAACUUCCUUAUGCUGCAGGUGUAGCCAAAAAAGUAAAAAACAAAACAAAACAAAAAUCUCUGAAGGAAUUCAAACACUUGAAAGGAUGAGUUAUUCCUAGAAAAUGACCUAAAAGUUCAAAACACCAGGAGUAGAAAACCCUUAGAGUGAUGUCAGGGAUUGAGGCCAUGCAUGUGCCCAGUAGCAUGUGCUUCCUCUUAUCCAGAGAUCUUAAAAGGGUUUUUUUUGUAUGGUCCCAUUCAUAUAACAUCUUAAAGAGAUAAAAGAACAAAUCAAGGUUUCCAAGGAGUUAGGGAGAUGAUAUGAUUACAAAGUUAUAGCACAGGAUGUUUUGAGGAACAGUGAAACUGUUCUGUAUCAUGAUUGUGGGAUAUUUUCAUGAAUCGAUACUAUGUGUGCAAUUCAAAAUUCACAGAUAUAACUGUACAUUAACAGUCUAUUUUUACUAUAUAAUUUUUUAAAAUAAAAAUGUAAAACAUUGGUAAAAUGAAAUAAUUGAUGUGGCCUCUAUUUUUAUUACUGGACUUGUCUAAUAUGUAUAUAAAAUUUUCUUUACUUAAAAUUUUCUUUACUUAAAACUCAAGCAUCAGAAUGCCAAUUGUAAUAGGCAAUCCACCAGAACUGGAAGAAGCAAGACACAGUUUCUCCCCUAGAACUUUGGGGACACAGUCCUGCUGAUGCCCGAAUACCAGCCCUGUGACAGUAAUUUCAACUUCUGGCCUCAGGACCAUGGCAGAAAACAUUUCUGUUGUUUUAAGCCACUGGGACUGUGAUAUAUUGUUCAGAGACAAUAGGAAACAAAUACAAACCAUGGUGAAAGUUUCCACUUGAAUUUCUGGAUCUAAGGUAACUAUGUUCUAAUGCUGCACACUCUGGCUGGAGCACUGUUUUCACUUCCACUGGAUAUAUUCUCAUGUGAGUACGAUAAAGAGUGUACACAGUAAUUGUACCCUCUCUCUCUUUUAACCUGGAUUUAAGAAUUGAAUGAUAAAAUAUAUGCCACGCCUCCCUCUCACUCCAUUAUUGUCUUAGAGGACAUGGACUAGUCGAGAGACAAUCUACUGAGCAAGAGUUAGUGGUUCCACUGAGGGCAGUAACCAAAGCCAGGUGUUAGGCUGCAUGGUGACUUUUCUUGUUCUGAUAUUUUAUGCCACAUUUAAUCUCAUGACCUUUGCUGUAAGAAUGAGCCAUUCAGCUGAUAAAUAAGAACCAUAAAUCAGCCAAGUGGUCACCAUACCAAUUGCCAAUUAUUCCCACCCUUAAGAAAAUAUGAAGGAUCUUGAAAAUAGCUUAUCCUUGAUUCCUAGGGGUGGGAGAAUUAGGAAAUUAUUUAUGCAACUUCUUUCCUUUUAUUUAUCUACAAUACUAAAAUACCUUUUAUUUUUUAAAAAUAAACAGUGUGAAUGCUGUUAGUUUUAUCUCUUAACUAAAUAAAAUAUUUGAGAAGAGUCAUGUGUGCAUUUCCCUUAUGAACACUGCACAAUGCCAUGUGUACUGUCAUUGCUCCAUAAAUAGUGAACAAGCCUGUGACCCUCUCAUUGUUUGGCAAGCAAGAGGAGAGACAGAAAAUUCCUUUUGUUUAUAUAGGAAAUUCUUUUCAGUUCACUGAGGAAUGUGUGUGACUUAUUGGAAAUCCCAUCAUUUACAUUGGUGCUUUGAUUCUACUAUUCCCACUAUCAAUGACUAGUCUUCCUAUUAUAUAUUUCUUUUUCUUUUUAGGGCCAUACCUGGGGCAUAUGGAAGUUCCUGGGCUAGGAGUUGAAUUGGAGCUAUAGCCGCCAGCCUACACCACAGCCACAGUAACACCACAUCCACCACAAGCUGCAUCUGCAACCUACACCUCAACUCACAGCAAUGCUGGAUCCUCAAUCCACUGAGCAAGGCCAGGGAUCUAACCCACAACCUCAUGGACACUAUGUUGGGUUCUUAAUUAGCUGAACACAAUGGGAAUUCCUAAAUAUUUUUUUUAAAGAAGCUGUGGAAGUAAUGUUAAGUCAAAACAUGAAGAUGAAGCAUGGAAAUUUGUAGCAAGAUAUCUCUAAUAUUAAUGAAUCCAAAUAUCUUCUCUAAUCUAUCAACAACACUUGAGCAAGGUACAUAAGAAACAUAUAUAAAAUUUUCUGCACACACCUCAGAAAGAAAGAGAUCAAUCAUAAGUGUAACAACAAAAAUUAAAUAUCUUGGAAUAGAUUGAAUUAUCAAAACAAUGGAACUUUUUUGAUAAAGACAUAGAUAAACAGAAAUGCUUUGUCCAUCACUAAUCAAAUAUAGACUUUCCAGAGUUUAUUCAUCAUGUCAAAUUAUAAAUUUAUUUAAUCACAAAACAAAAUUUAAGUAUACUAGCAGAAUUCAUAAUUCCUUCUAUAUUAGCAAACUCGUACUGAUUAUACACUAUGUAAAAAACUUGCGCUACAUAGCAAUAAUUAAGGCACAUGGAGAUCCCUUCCUGGCUCAGUGGUUAACAAGUCCAACUAGGAACCAUGAGGUUGUGGGUUCGAUUCCUGGCCUUGCUCAGUGAGUUAAGGAUCUGGCAUUGCCAUAAGCUGUGGUUUAGGUUGCAGUCAGGGCUCGGAUCCUGUGUUGCUGUGGCUGUAGUGUAGGCCAGCAGCAACAGCUCCUAUUAGACCCCUAGCCUGGAAACUUCCAUAUGCC
rnacentral:lncRNA from 1 species